UACGUAGGGACCGAGCGUUGUCCGGAAUCAUUGGGCGUAAAGAGCGUGUAGGCGGCCACUUAAGUCCUGCGUGAAAUCUUGCGGCUCAACCGCAAGCGGUCGUGGGAAACUGGGUGGCUAGAGUGCGGGAGAGGAGAGUGGAAUUCCUGGUGUAGCGGUGGAAUGCGCAGAUAUCAGGAAGAACACCCGUGGCGAAGGCGGCUCUCUGGAACGCAACUGACGCUGAGGAGCGAAAGCUAGGGGAGCAAACAGG
rnacentral:rRNA from 1 species